GUAUUAGUUACUCAACAGUCUAAUGAUGAAAAAAUUGUGGAAUUUGAUAAAGCUAUUAAUUAUUUUCAAUCAAGAUUAGGACUGAAAUUGAAAAGCACGGAAGAUCUUGGACUCUCAUUCAUAUUCACACACAUUAACCCUGAUAAUCAAGAUGAGCAGUUUGAGUUUUGCCUUAAGAUAAUAGAUAAUGAUGAAUACAGUGUUACAUUAUGUCAGCCAGAAAUACCAGAGGCAAAUGUGCUGCUUGAAAAACUGAACGAAACAAACGACCUGAAAAGUUUUGUGGCUGCCGUACGAGAGAAGUUCAAAGAGCAAAUAUCAAAGGAAUCAAAACACACUUCAUAAAUUUUAAACAACAGUUUAAUAUUGUGACACUGUAAAUUUUACAUGAUCAUUUUUAAAACCCAACAAUAAAGCUAAGUUUAAAUAUUUAC